CGCGUAGGCUGUGCUGCAAGUCAGGCGUGAAAGGCCCGGGCUCAACCUGGGAACUGCGCAUGAUACUGCGGCGCUUGAAGGCGGGAGAGGAUGGCGGAAUUCCCAGUGUAGAGGUGAAAUUCGUAGAUAUUGGGAAGAACACCGGUGGCGAAGGCGGCCAUCUGGCCCGCAAUUGACGCUGAGGCGCGAAAGCGUGGGGAGCAAACAGGAUUAGAUACCCUGGUAGUCCACGCCGUAAACGAUGAGUGCUAGACGUCGGGGAGCUUGCUCUUCGGUGUCGCCGCUAACGCAUUAAGCACUCCGCCUGGGGAUACGGUCGCAAGAUUAAA
rnacentral:rRNA from 1 species